AGGGUUUAGAUUCUGGAGAAAUCA
rnacentral:siRNA from 1 species